UAGCCAGCUAUGAGGUCACAGAGGUCCGGACCUUGGUAAAACUUUCAAAGAGAAAAAAAUAGAAGAAGCCCCAAACAGCAUGGUAAACAUAUUAACACACCGGACAGCUUUUAUUUUGAAAUGACACGCAGGAAGUUAUCUGAUGUAUUGGCGGAAAGCUGAAAACUUGUUAGUUAAAAUUUAAGAAAAAGUUAAGUUCUUGCUAAGUAAUGUUAAUGUUAGAAGCUUUAGCUGUGACACAAUGGGUUGAAAGCUACUGACUAAUCAUGCAUGAUGUGAGCUCAUUAAGUCAGGGCCAUGCUCCCAAAGGUAACGUUAUUUAACAUUAUGCAGGUGGCUGUUUCAUGACCCAAUAAAGUUACAUGAGGUUAGGUGGUGUAGAAACUAUAUAUAUGUAGCAGGUCCCCUUUAAAUUCCAGCCACUCUCAUUUUGCCCUGCCUAGUCCUGUUAUUUUACCUGGCUGGUCACCUCUCCCCCGGGCCUUGCCAUAUAAGGAAGACGCUGUAGCAUGAGUUGACUGUGUUGCCGUUUCCAGCAGCUUAAAUACGGGGUGGGUUUUACAAUGAAAGAAUGCUGUCUUCCUGCUAAGCUGGGUGCCGUGUUGCUGCCGUCGGUCCUCCAGAACCUUUUCGCUGGUCUUGUACAAUAAUCCGCUGGUAGAUGAGAGGUUGCAUUCCCCUACCUGAGGUACAGAGUCCCCGGGACUAAGCGUGUGUGGUGUGUGACAGGUUAAAUCCCUCCUGUAGAGUUUUCUUACCUGGACUGUACUGCUGGGGGCGCCGGUUGGUUGGUGUUGCACACUUGCAUGCAGAUAAGUAUUGCACUACACUUAGGGGUGUUGGUUUGCCGUGCUUGGGUGUGUGUGUUUGUAGUUGGCUGUGUGAUUUAAGGCGGGAUCACGUGGUGGCCUAGAGUAGGAGUACCUGCAGGUCCCCCUCAGUCAGUCUUGUUAUUCAAACUUCAUGUUUUCUCUUGUUAAUAACUGUUAUCUCAUCCUUUUUUGCAGCACAGUUGUCCAGAGCCAGCAUAGCAUCGAGGAUUGUUGAAAUACUUGUUUCACAUUUUUAACUUGAACUCAUAUAAAUUAAAUUAAUAUAGGCCUAUUUUAAUUGUGAAAUAAACAUCUCUACAUUUUGAAUCUUGAAGCCACAUCUCUCAUUUUGUUACACUUAUCUGUGUGUGUACCUGUAUUUUAAAAUUGGUAUUGUAAGGGAACCCAGGCUAUGAAAAGCUUAAAGUGCCUUAUCCACCUUAGUCAGGUCACAUACAGAUAGGUAUGACAAAAAAUAUUGAACUUAUUAUGAUAUUCUAAAUUGUGGUGAUGCACCUGUUGUUGUGGUUUGUAUUUACUGCUUUUAUUUUGAUAGUAUGUUCUGGUGGUGUUUGUUUGUGGCUUUGGGUAACUUUACUUUUGUUCUCCGGAGGCACCCUUCCCACCUGCUGUGUCGAGGAGUGAUUGGACUCACCUGUUUCUGCUUUGCCAAUCAAGCUGCCUACUUUAAGCCUGCUGUGACACUCCUCGACGCCAGAGUAUACAGAGAACCUCCGUGUGCCUCCCGUGCCCUCACAGCCCAGCACUCUCUGGAUGUCUUUUGUGUUUUUGAUGGACUCUGGCAGUUACUGAUUUUUUGUGGAUUCACUCGCCCCUUUGUGCAAAUAAAUCAUUGUAAACACC